rnacentral:rRNA from 1 species
CCUACGGGAGGCUGCAGUGGGGAAUAUUGCGCAAUGGGCGAAAGCCUGACGCAGCGACGCCGCGUGAGGGAUGAAGGUCUUCGGAUCGUAAACCUCUGUCAGCAGGGAAGAACGGUCACUGUGCUAAUCAGCAGUGAAUUGACGUUACCUGCAAAGGAAGCACCGGCUAACUCCGUGCCAGCAGCCGCGGUAAUACGGAGGGUGCGAGCGUUAAUCGGAAUUACUGGGCGUAAACCGUGCGUAGGCGGUAUGUCAAGUCAAGGGUGAAAUUCCCGGGCUCAACGUGGGAACUGCCUUUGAAACUGGCAAAAUGGAGUGUGUGGGAGGCUAGGGGAAUUCCAGGUGUAGGAGUGAAAUCCGUAGAUAUCUGGAGGAACAUCAGUGGCGAAGGCGACUAUCUGGCACAUAACUGACGCUGAGGAGCGAAAGCGUGGGUAGCAAACAGGAUUAGAUACCCUGGUAGUC